rnacentral:rRNA from 1 species
UACGUAGGGUGCAAGCGUUGUCCGGAAUUAUUGGGCGUAAAGAGCUCGUAGGCGGUUUGUCACGUCGGGAGUGAAAACUCGGGGCUUAACCCCGAGCCUGCUUCCGAUACGGGCAGACUAGAGGUAGGCAGGGGAGAGCGGAACUCCUGGUGUAGCGGUGGAAUGCGCAGAUAUCAGGAAGAACACCGGUGGCGAAGGCGGCUCUCUGGGCCUUACCUGACGCUGAGGAGCGAAAGCGUGGGGAGCGAACAGG